GCCUGUUCUCAAUUGGGGGAGGGGAAUGUGCUUCCAAGUCAAUCAAGUGCUGCCGUCGCAACAGAUCACUAAUCAGGGAGAAGGCCACCACUAGAAUGCAGCAGGAACCCACCAGAGAGUCCCCGGAGUCUCAACCCGCCUCUUCUCUUAUCUCUGAUUGCUGCUGUUUCAUCUGCGCGGAGAAGCAUUAAUCAACUCUUCUCAUUCAGGGAUUGGCUGGAGAGGAGGUGCCACAGCUCGACUGGACCAAUGGGCCGCUGACAAUAACAGGGCUGUCAGGGUGCAGCAAAGCAGCUUUCAGAGGACUGAUGGAGUUAAAGCAAACACCUGACAGACAGCCGGUGAACCCGAGAGAGGCCAAGCCGGCCAGCUCUGCAUCUAACUCAUCAGACUCUGAGCACAGAGAGAGAAACACAGAGACAAGAGAGGCUGAGUGAGAAGACACGUUUGUCAUCAGCAAAUUCCAGUAACACAUUUCAAAUGCAAGAGUGGUAAACCUUUAUCUUGACGAGGCCACGGUCGCGAUGAUAAGUGGUAAUGUUUCUGUCUUAAUCAUUUUAUUAUCCAUUUUAGAUGCUGAUAAACCUGCUGGAAAUUAUUUUGCUGAAUAAUACACUAAUACUGGGUGAAAAACAACUCAUCAUCAUCAUCAUUGAAACAAUUAUUUCUAACAUUUUCAUGCAUGCUAACUUGAUAUUGGAAGCCUAGGCAACUAAACUAAAUGCUUUGUUAGGUUAUAUGGUUACAUAUAGUAAAAAUAAAAACACUAUCUUUCAAACACACUAUGAUCUGUAUUCU